rnacentral:rRNA from 1 species
AUCAUGGCUCAGAUUGAACGCUGGCGGCAUGCCUUACACAUGCAAGUCGAACGGCAGCACGGGAGCUUGCUCCUGGUGGCGAGUAGCGAACGGGUGAGUAAUACAUCGGAACGUACCCUGAAGUGGGGGAUAACGUAGCAAAAGUUACGCUAAUACCGCAUAUUCUGUGAGCAGGAAAGAGGGGGGAUCGCAAGACCUCUUGCUUUAGGAGCGGCCGAUGUCGGAUUAGCUAGUUGGUGAGGUAAAGGCUCACCAAGGCGACGAUCCGUAGCGGGUCUGAGAGGAUGAUCCGCCACACUGGGACUGAGACACGGCCCAGACUCCUACGGGAGGCAGCAGUGGGGAAUUUUGGACAAUGGGCGCAAGCCUGAUCCAGCCAUGCCGCGUGAGUGAAGAAGGCCUUCGGGUUGUAAAGCUCUUUCGGUGGGGAAGAAAUUGCACAGGAUAAUACCUUGUGUAGAUGACGGUACCCGCAUAAGAAGCACCGGCUAACUACGUG